AGGGAUCAUUAACGAACGGCCCAUUGGGCCUUUCAACCCACACACCCGUGGAAAAACAAAUGUGCUUUGGCUUUUUAUAGCCAUAUUCAUGCGUUUUGACAAAUGUUGUCUGAAUUAAAUUUAAAUUGAAAAACUUUCAACAAAGGAUCUCUUGGCUCUC
rnacentral:misc_RNA from 1 species